rnacentral:misc_RNA from 1 species
AGUGCCCUCUGAUGCAAAUCAUUGGGUUGGACCUGCUCUCUUCGCAAGAAGAGGGUUUCCAUACACACCGUGAACUGCGGCUUCGGUCAUCACAAACUGUUAGUAAUGAAUGUAAUAUCAUAACAAAAACAAAACUUUUAACAACGGAUCUCUUGGUUCU